UGCCUUGAUGGUGAAAUGGGUAAACACAAUUGAUUCAAAAUUAAUAGCUUCAAAAAGAAGUAUAGAGGUUCAAGUCCUCUUCAAGGCAA
rnacentral:tRNA from 1 species